rnacentral:rRNA from 1 species
GAGACUCUGUGCGCGUGCAUAUAAUAAGCGGAGGAAAAGAAACUAACAAGGAUUCCCUUAGUAACGGCGAGUGAAGCGGGAAGAGCUCAAAUUUGAAAUCUUCAAGGUUCUACCUUUACGAAUUGUAGUUUAUAAGAAGUGUUUUCUGUUAGUAGAGUCGGCUAAAAGUUCUUUGGAAUAGGGACAUCAUAGAGGGUGAGAAUCCCGUAUUUGGUCAUUCUUUCUAGCUGUGUGAUACACUUUCAACGAGUCGGAUUGUUUGGGAAUGCAGUCCAAAAUGGGUGGUAAAUUUCAUCUAAAGCUAAAUAUUGGCGAGAGACCGAUAGCGAACAAGUACCGUGAGGGAAAGAUGAAAAGAACUUUGAAAAGAGAGUUAAACAGUACGUGAAAUUGUCAAAAGGGAAGCGUUUGACACCAGUGUUGUUUAGUUGAAAAUCAAUUCAAUAGUUUUUGAUUUUAAGUAGUAUUGACUUCAUCAGCUUGCUGCUUUCUUUCAGAGAAUUAUUGAAUGCACUUUUCAGUUAACAAGUCAACAUCAAUUUCUUUUGUUGUAAAAGGGUAUGAGGAAGGUGGCUUUCUUUUCGGAGAAAGUGUUUAUAGCCUUUUACCUCUGCAAUCGGAGAGAUUGAGGACAGCAGCGUAGACUCCUUCGGGGGUUAGAUACACUUGUGCUAAGCUAUAGCCUUGUAUAGACAACUUGUUGACUAUGCUCAGUCAUGUAGCUUACUCGCUUGUACUAUUUUACCUACGCUUAGGAUGUUGACAGCAGUAUAGACUGU